UAGUCAAUGCUCGCAAGAGUGAACUAGCUAACUGAAAUCAUAGAAUUUCUUCAAAUUCGUGAUGUCGUAAGGGAAAAUAAUGAUAAUACCUUACUAUGAGUGUCGUCCAAAUCUGGUGCCAGAAGACUCGGUAAGACCAGAGACGCAAACGUUAAUCAUCAUAAUCAGGCGUAAAGGGUUUGUAGGCAGCUUAAAAAAAUUAAAAAAAUUAAAAUAAAAAUAAUAAAAAUUUAAGCUAGAAUCUAACAGAGGUUAUAGUGUAUAACGCCUAGAGGAGGGCUAAUAUCCAUAGAUCCUAGGCAGAAUACUAAAGGCGAAGGCCACUCUCCACUAAAGAUUGACGCUGAGAAACGAAGGUUAGGAUAGGAAAAAGGAUUAGAUACCCUGUUACCCCUUUCUGUAAACGAUGAAUGGUAGUUUUUAGUAAAAAAAAUUAGAGACGAAGUUAACACAAUAACCAUUCCGCCUUGUGAGUACUACUGCAAAGUAGAAAACAAAAAAAUUAGUCGGUCUCGAAGCAAACGGAGUGAAGCAUGUUAUUUAAU
rnacentral:rRNA from 1 species